AUUAAGCGUAGUGGUAUCCUGAGUAGCGCGGGACACGAGAAAUCUUGCGUGAAUCUGCCGGGACCAUCCGGUAAGGCUAAAUACUCCCGAGAGACCGAUAGCGAACCAGUACUGUGAAGGAAAGGUGAAAAGCACUUCGAAUAGAAGAGUGAAAUAGUCCCUGAAACCGUGCGCCUACAAGCGGUCGGAGCUGCUUAAGCAGUGACGGCGUGCCUUUUGCAUAAUGAACCUACGAGUUACUUUUUCCGGCAAGGUUAAGCAUCUUGAGAUGUGCAGCCGAAGCGAAAGCGAGUCUGAACAGGGCGUCGAGUCGGAAGGAGUAGACGCGAAACCAAGUGAUCUACCCUUGGUCAGGUUGAAGGUUAGGUAACACUAACUGGAGGACCGAACCGAUAAGCGUUGAAAAGCUUCCGGAUGAACUGAGGGUGGGGGUGAAAGGCUAAUCAAACUUGGAGAUAGCUCGUACUCCCCGAAAUGCAUUUAGGUGCAGCCUUGUGAGUUACUAAUGUGAGGUAGAGCGACUGAUAAGAUGCGAGGGCUUCACCGCCUAUCAAGUCUUGAUAAACUCCGAAUGCGCAUUAGUUCUAUCACAGGAGUGAGGGCAUGGGUGCUAAGGUCCAUGUCCUAAAGGAGAAGAAUCCAGACCAUCAGCUAAGGUCCCCAAAUAAACACUAAGUUGAACUAACGAAGUCAGAUUGCUAAGACAGCUAGGAUGUUGGCUUGGAAGCAGCCAUUCAUUUAAAGAGUGCGUAACAGCUCACUAGUCGAGGAGUUUGGCGUGGAUAAUAAUCGGGCAUUAAGUGUUUUACCGAAGCUAUGGGAUCAGUAAUGAUCGGUAGGGGAGCAUUCCACUCUGCGUCGAAGGUGAAGCGUGAGCUUUGCUGGAGCGUGUGGAAAAGCAAAUGUAGGUAUAAGUAACGAUAAAGGGGGUGAGAAACCCCCUCGCCGAAAGACUAAGGUUUCCUGAUCAACGCUAAUCGGAUCAGGGUUAGUCGGGUCCUAAGGCUCAGCCGAACGGUGAGGCCGAUGGCAGAACAGGUUAAUAUUCCUGUACUACCUUAAGGAGUGACGUGGAGACGGAGCAGUGACAGCGCCGCGGACUGACGGAAUAGUCCGUUGAAGGGUGUAGAUGUUGAUCAUCCCAGGCAAAUCCGGGAUGAGAGUCGAACCUGAUAGUAUGGAGCGUUCUUCGGAACAAUCCAAUAGUGCGUGUAAGCAUACUCCCAAGAAAAUCCGCUAAACUUAAUCCUUAAGGUACCCGUACCGCAAACGGACACACGUAGUCGGGUUGAAUAUACUAAGGCGCUUGAGUGAUUCACGGUUAAGGAACUAGGCAAAUUGACCCUGUAACUUCGGGAUAAAGGGUCCCAACGAGAGUUGGGCGCAGAGAAUAGGUCCAGGCAACUGUUUAACAAAAACACAGGGCUGUGCCAAAUUGAAAGAUUACGUAUACAGCCUGACACCUGCCCGGUGCUGGAAGGUUAAGAGGAGAUGUCAUCGCAAGAGAAGCAUUGAAUUGAAGCCCCAGUAAACGGCGGCCGUAACUAUAACGGUCCUAAGGUAGCGAAAUUCCUUGUCGGGUAAGUUCCGACCUGCACGAAUGGUGUAAUGAUCUGGACACUGUCUCAACCGUGAGCUCAGUGAAAUUGUAGUAUCGGUGAAGAUGCCGAUUACCCGCGAUGGGACGAAAAGACCCCGUGAACCUUUACUAUAGCUUAACAUUGAAUUUGGGUAAUUGAUGUGUAGGAUAGGCCGGAGACUUUGAAGCAGGUACGCCAGUAUUUGUGGAGUCGCUGUUGAAAUACGGCCCUUUGAUUAUUUGAGUUCUAACUCGUAGUUGCGAGGACACUGUUUGGUGGGUAGUUUGACUGGGGUGGUCGCCUCCAAAAUAGUAACGGAGGCUUCUAAAGGUGCCCUCAGGACGAUUGGUAACCGUCCGUAGAGUGUAAUGGCAUAAGGGCGCUUGACUGGGAGACUAACAAGUCGAUCAGGUAGGAAACUAGAGCAUAGUGAUCCGGUGUUUCCGUAUGGAAGGGACAUCGCUCAAAGGAUAAAAGGUACUCCGGGGAUAACAGGCUGAUCCCUCCCAAGAGCUCAUAUCGACGGAGGGGUUUGGCACCUCGAUGUCGGCUCGUCACAUCCUGGGGCUGGAGAAGGUCCCAAGGGUUGGGCUGUUCGCCCAUUAAAGUGGCACGCGAGCUGGGUUCAGAACGUCGUGAGACAGUUCGGUCUCUAUCUAUCGUGGGCGUAUGAAAUUUGCGUGGCUCUGACACUAGUACGAGAGGACCGUGUUGGACUGACCGCUGGUUUACCAGUUGUGCCGCCAGGUGCAUUGCUGGGUAUCUAAGUCGGGAUUGGAUAAGUGCUGAAAGCAUCUAAGUACGAAGCCAGCCACAAGAUUAGAUUUCUUAGGGUCGUUAAAGACGAUGACGUUGAUAGGAUGCAGGUGUAAAGGUGGUAACAUCAAAGCCGAGCAUUACUAAUUGCCCGUUCACUUUCUUUC
rnacentral:rRNA from 1 species